CGGGGCCCAGUAGCUAGCAG
rnacentral:misc_RNA from 1 species